rnacentral:ncRNA from 1 species
UGGUAAGUAAGACCUGCCCGAAAAGAAUGAGGCCUAUGGAAGUAGGAUGGAAGCGAGUAGGGCAGGGUUUACCA